rnacentral:rRNA from 1 species
UACAGAGGGUGCUAGCGUUGUUCGGAAUCAUUGGGCGUAAAGAGCUCGUAGGCGGUCUGUCGCGUCUGCUGUGAAAACUCGGGGCUUAACCCCGGGCCUGCAGUGGGUACGGGCAGACUAGAGUGCGGUAGGGGAGACUGGAAUUCCUGGUGUAGCGGUGAAAUGCGCAGAUAUCAGGAGGAACACCGGUGGCGAAGGCGGGUCUCUGGGCCGUAACUGACGCUGAGGAGCGAAAGCAUGGGGAGCGAACAGG